AAUCAACGCUGGCGGCGUGCCUAACACAUGCAAGUCGAACGAGAAAGUGGGGGCAACUCCAUGAGUACAGUGGCAGACGGGUGAGUAACACGUGAACAAUCUACCCUUGAGUGGGGAAUAACACCGCGAAAGCGGUGCUAAUACCGCAUAACAUCUCCGGAUCGCAUGAUCUGGAGAUCAAAAGCGCAAGUUGCUCGAGGAGGAGUUCGCGCCUGAUUAGCUAGCUGGUGAGGUAACGGCCCACCAAGGCAACGAUCAGUAGCCGGCCUGAGAGGGCGAACGGCCACACUGGAACUGAGACACGGUCCAGACUCCUACGGGAGGCAGCAGUGGGGAAUUUUGCGCAAUGGGCGGAAGCCUGACGCAGCAACGCCGCGUGGAGGAUGAAGGCCUUCGGGUCGUAAACUCCUGUCAGUGGGGACGAAUGCUUCGCAAGAAGUUUGACUGUACCCGCUGAGGAAGCCACGGCUAACUCCGUGCCAGC
rnacentral:rRNA from 1 species